rnacentral:rRNA from 1 species
CGCCCUUCAGAGGGGGACAACAGUUGGAAACGACUGCUAAUACCGCAUACGAUCUAACCUCGGCAUCGAGGAUAGAUGAAAGGUGGCCUCUACAUGUAAGCUAUCACUGAAGGAGGGGAUUGCGUCUGAUUAGCUAGUUGGAGGGGUAACGGCCCACCAAGGCGAUGAUCAGUAGCCGGUCUGAGAGGAUGAACGGCCACAUUGGGACUGAGACACGGCCCAG